rnacentral:lncRNA from 1 species
UGAGGAAUGGAGCCGGCCUUCUAUAGACUAAGACCUCUGAAAGUGGGAGCACACAGAUAAACUUGUCUUCCCUAAAAUUUUUCUGGUCAGAUCUUUUAGCCACAGCAGAAAAACAAAACAAAACAACAACAAUAAUAAUAAUAAUAAUAAAACCUGACUGAAACAGUCACACUAAUAGUAAAUAGAUAGGAUCCAAACUCUGAUGUUUCUAGUUCAAAACCCACGGUCAUAUAUCAACUUUAUGCUUAACAUUAACAUAAAAGUAUAAAAAUAGUGAAAAGCCAAGUCAUGAGUUUAGAUUACUUAGGUCACCCCAGUUUCCCAUGGAAGCUAAGGGUUUAUUCCUCUUUGCACACUGAACAUUUUGUGUGGACCAGGACUGAACCCACCUGUCACUAAGCUGAUGGGCUGUGACAAGGGCCUAUCUUCAACCAAAGGCCACUGGAUCCCAAGUUGUAUCACUCAUCUCGAGCUCAGGAAGGAAGCCAUCUUCUAGGGGCUCAGAAGGUAAUAGCUGUGCCCAUCUGGGGUGGGGGGUGUGGCUCUCCAGGGGGAGGGUGAGCAACUUCUGUCUGUCAAGUCGAACCUUGAAGGAAAGCAAGUCAACAUUCAAAGCCCUGAGGGCUGAAAAAGAUGCUGCCCAGCCAGGCACAUCCUUGGGUGUCUCAUCUAAAAGUAAAACCUCCUUCACCAAUCAGGUGCCCCAAAUCCUUUUAGCCAGGUGGCUGUUUGCACCAAAGCUGGGGACAUUAAAGUUUUCUUAUUAAGUGUGUAUGUGGGUCCAAUCAAGUGACCUUUGGGAGAAUUAAUCCAC